ANAAUUGACAAUUUUGAAAUAGUUUGAUCAUAAAGUAAACUAUGUCGAAAAAAUAUAAAAUUUUAUUUCUAGAAACUUUAAAUAUCCUAGAUCAGUUUUAACGGUGUGGAUCGUUGAUUUGAACGCCCUAAGAUCGAAAACCAACACUAUAGUACCGGAGCUCGGUACUAUAGAUAGUAUAGUAGCCUAGCUCUACAUAUAUAUAUAUAUAGGAUGGAAGAAAUAUACAAGUAUAUAUAUAAUUUUAGCCUCUCUCUCUAUCAAUAUAAUC
rnacentral:lncRNA from 1 species